rnacentral:rRNA from 1 species
CGAACGCUGGCGGCGUGCUUAAUACAUGCAAGUCGUGCGAGAAAGAGGGGGCAACUCCUCGAGUAAAGCGGCAAACGGGUGAGUAACACGUAAGUAACCUCCCUCCAAACCUGGAAUAACUCUGCUAAAGCGGGGCUUAUGCCGGAUGUGGUCACGUUACCGCAUGGUGAUGUGAUUAAAGGUGACCUCUAUUUAUAAGUUAUCAUUUGGAGAUGGACUUGCGGCCCAUUAGCUAGUUGGGGGGGUAACGGCCCACCAAGGCUAUGAUGGGUAGCCGGCCUUAGAGGGUGAACGGCCACAUUGGGACUGAGAAACGGCCCAGACUCCUACGGGAGGCAGCAGUAGGGAAUUUUGCGCAAUGGACGAAAGUCUGACGCAGCAACGCCGCGUGAGGGAUGAAGGUCUUCGGAUUGUAAACCUCUGUUGGGUGGGAAGAAACUAUUUAUGGCUAAUAUCCAUGGAUACUGACGGUACCACUUGAGGAAGCCCCGGCUAACUACGUGCCAGCAGCCGCGGUAAUACGUAGGGGGCAAGCGUUGUUCGGAAUUACUGGGCGUAAAGGGAGCGUAGGUGGAAAGGUAAGUUGGAAGUUUAAUCCCAUGGCUCAACCAUGGAUCGGCUUUCAAUACUGCCUAUCUAGAGUAUGGGAGAGGAAGAUAGAAUUCCAGGUGUAGCGGUGGAAUGCGUAGAUAUCUGGAAGAAUACAGUAGCGAAGGCGGUCUUCUGGCCCAAUACUGACACUGAGGCUCGAAAGCUAGGGGAGCAAACAGGAUUAGAUACCCUGGUAGUCCUAGCCGUAAACUAUGGAUACUAGAUGCUGGAGGAGUCAAUCCUUUCAGUGUCGUAGCUAACGCGUUAAGUAUCCCGCCUGGGGAGUAUGCCCGCAAGGGUGAAACUCAAAGGAAUUGACGGGGGCCCGCACAAGCGGUGGAGCAUGUGCUUUAAUUCGAUGCAACGCGAAGAACCUUACCUGGGUUUGACAUGGGAGUGAAAGUUUCCAGAGAUGGAGACCUUUCCGCAAGGAACACUCUACACAGGUGCUGCAUGGUUGUCGUCAGCUCGUGUCGUGAGAUGUUGGGUUAAGUCCCGCAACGAGCGCAACCCUCGUCCUUAGUUGCCAUCAGGUAAUGCUGGGAACUCUAAGGAGACUGCCUGGAAUAACCAGGAGGAAGGUGGGGAUGACGUCAAAUCAUCAUGGCUCUUACGUCCAGGGCUAGACACGUGCUACAAUGGUCGGUACAGAGGGAUGCGAUAUCGCGAGAUUGAGCAAAUCCAACAAAGCCGGCCUCAGUACAGAUUGGAGUCUGCAACUCGACUCCAUGAAGCUGGAAUCGCUAGUAAUCGCGGAUCAGCAUGCCGCGGUGAAUACGUUCCCGGGCCUUGUACACACCGCCCGUCAAGCCACGAAAGAUGGGAGUACCCAAAGUCGUUUUUCCAACCGCAAGGGGGAUGGCGCCUAAGGUAAGACCAUUAAUUGGGGC